rnacentral:rRNA from 15 species
UGUACGAAAAUUGGGGUACCAUCCUCAAAGCCUAAAAAAAAUUUAACAACCGAUAGUGAACAAGUACCGUAAGGGAAAGGUGAAAAAGGAGGAUACUCCCAGUGAAAAGAACCUGAAACUUAAUGCUAUAAUCUGUUGGAGCUUUAAUAGUGACAGCGUACCUUUUGCAUAAUGGGUCAGCGACUUUGUAUAGAUGGCAAGCUUAAACUGUUAGGUGGAGGCGAAGUGAAAACGAAAAUUAAAAAGUCAUUUGUGCAAAACCCGAAACUGAGUGAUCUAACCAUGAACAGGCUGAAGUUAUGAUGGCAACAUCUUUCUAAGGGCCGAACCCGUGUAUGUGGCAAAAUACUGGGAUGAUUUGUGGUUAGGGGUGAAAGGCCAAUCAAACUCAGAGAUAGCUGGUUUUCUGCGAAAUCUAUUUAAGUAGAGUGUUUAUUGCAAUACCUGAGGUAGAGCUCUCUUUUAGUGCGGGGUUGUAUAUCUUCUACCAAACUUUUGGAAACUUCGAAUUCGGAUUUAU